CGUAGGGGGCAAGCGUUGUUCGGAAUUACUGGGCGUAAAGCGCGCGUAGGUGGCCAAUUAAGUCAAAUGUGAAAUCCCCGAGCUUAACUUGGGAAUUGCAUUCGAUACUGGUUGGCUAGAGUAUGGGAGAGGAUGGUAGAAUUCCAGGUGUAGCGGUGAAAUGCGUAGAGAUCUGGAGGAAUACCGAUGGCGAAGGCAGCCAUCUGGCCUAAUACUGACACUGAGGUGCGAAAGCAUGGGAGCAAACAGGAUU
rnacentral:rRNA from 1 species